UCAACAAUGAUUCAGAGCAGGAGAAGACUGAGGUCACUCCUCGGCCAGACAUGAUGACUUAAGACAAAAAUAUUUUAACUCCCUGUGAGUUGGGUUGCUUUUGUUUUGAAGUAGUUCCUCUGGAAAGCAGAAAGCAGCAAUUCGUUUGGUAUAAUAGAGAAGAAUUUGAUUUCUAACCUUAACAGACUUCUCUCUACAAGAGACAGGUACUCAGAACAAAUGCACAUCACAGCUGAUUCAGCUGGACCUGGAACAGUAAUAAAGGCAAUCCUCUCAAAAAAAGCUCAGCUUCUGGAGGCUUAAGUUCACAGGUGGCCUUCAAAAGAGUUGUACCAACUAAACUGAACACAAAAGGGGAGAAGUGUAUCACAGAAGGGACCUUUUGGAGGACACCAGUAAGCACUAGGUGAAGACACCAUAAAGACUGCCACAGCCAUUUCAGCACUGCUUAUGGAUGGGAAUAACCAACUGUAGGGGCAGUUACAUGCUGCUUCUUUUUCAGCAGCAAAGCAAGCUUGAAAAAUUGCCAGCUUUACUUACCUUCAGCUACUCAUUAUUGUCUCAUGCCACGUUUUUGCAGAAGGUUAUUUUUAGCCUGGAUUAUUUCAGUAAACUAUUUUGGGCUGGCAUUGGGCUGACAUUGAAGGGGCUGAGAAGCACAGCACAGGGAAGGGAGCUAAUAUCUACCUUUGUAAUUAACUCCACAACCAAUACCAGAACUACCUGUAGUUAUUGAUCUUGAAGGUUACUGCUACAAGUCACCCAAAUUCUCUGACACUGUCUGAAAAAUACCAGCAAUAAUGAAAUCAAAAUAGUAUUAUUCAGGACACCAAAAAGAUACCAUAUGGAGCAAUAUGCAUUUCAAAACAGUACAGGACUGUCUGAUUGCAGUUUCAGUAAAUCCACUAUGUUCACACAGGAAAAUGAAAUCUCAAAAUAGCAUCUUUGAUAGCAGCAUCAACAGGCACAUCAGGAAUCAAUUUCAACUUUCAGGGCUCUCUAAAUGCUGGACAUCUUCCUCCCAUGAUCCCUAUUCAAGUGUUUCCACUUGCUUAUGUUAACUUCUCUGUUCACUGAACCCUGCACUGAGCCAUUCCAGCAUGCUAACCCUUCAGAAAAUUAAUCACUUGUUUUGUUCCAUGCACUGUCUUCUGCAUUCAUGCAUACAAUGGCUCAGCAGAAGACUAGAAAAGCACUGAAGCCAAUGCAAAGGGGAGAAGAUGAGAUUAUCCAGGGAUUUUUUUUUCCCCAGAUAAAGGGAACACAGAAACUACAGAAAGUCUGGCUACCUGUGAACACACCCAGGUGAGCUUGAACACACUGCUGAAAGGAAAUGACACCAUAGGAAAAGAAUGCAGGAGGCACCCAGGAGCUCUCAAACCUCCCAAGCCCUUCAUCUUAGCCUGAGACCAGCUCUACAAAAGGCUCACCAGGCACGGGGAUGACAACACUCCAUGUGUGUUUGCAGCAAAUGGCAGACUGAAAAAUCCUCUCUAGUAGAAGACAUCAAUUCCAAAUACCUGUGAGAUCUCCACUUAACCUGAUGACCAAAGACUGUACCUAAGACUGCACACAAGCCAAAAGUGUUGCCUCUAAUCCAUUAUCACACUGCAGAAAAAGCAUUCAUGAUGCAUAUACUCAACUGGGCAGACUGGAUUAUCCCAAGAGCACUACUGAGAAUUUCAAAUCCACAAGCAAGGAGUCAGUAAGGAUAAAAUGGGUGCCAGAAACUUCAAUAUUAACAUCCAACUAAUAUCCAAGUUACUACAUUGAUCUCCUGAAGCAUGUUUUGAACUAGUAUUGCAAGAGGAAGAUAUUUAACAAAGCAGAAAUAGACCAAGGCUCACCGCCAGAGCAAAGAACCCAGCCCUGAAACAGCAGAAGGUUUUGCACAUCUAAACUCUGAUAUGCUGUCAAAAUUCAGCAGGAAAAACUGGCCUUGUGAACAUCAAAUUCAUUGUACAAAAUGCUUUGUACUAGCAACUUGUCACUGAUA